AACGUAGGAGACAAACGUUAUCCGGAAUUACUGGGCGUAAAGGGCGCGUAGGCGGCACGGCAAGUCGGGAGUGAAAGCCCGGGGCUCAACCCCGGAGGGUCUUCCGAAACUGCCGAGCUAGAGUGCGGAAGAGGCAACCGGAAUUCCCAGUGUAGCGGUGAAAUGCGUAGAUAUUGGGAAGAACACCAGAGGCGAAGGCGGGUUGCUGGGCCGACACUGACGCUGAGGCGCGAAAGCCAGGGGAGCAAACGGG
rnacentral:rRNA from 1 species